AACGCACCUUGCGCCCUUUGGCAUUCCGAGGGGCACACCCGUUUGAGUGUCGUGAAAUCCUCAAAACCCCCUUUUCUUUCAUCGGAACGGGGAUUUUGGACUUGGAGGUUCAAUGCUUGCUUUUGCUUUCAAAGGCGAGCUCCUCUUAAAUGAAUCAGUGGGGUCCGCUUUGCUGAUCCUUGACGUGAUAAUAUGUUUCUACGUUUUGGAUCUGGCACUGUUUUCUCCGCUCCUAAUCGUCUCAUUGACAAUGAUGGUGCUUCGGUCCCCUGCCAUCUACGUUGGCGGGAGGCUGGACCCACAAAAAUAAAACCUUGACCUCAAAUCGGGUGAGACUACCCGCUGAACUUAA
rnacentral:misc_RNA from 1 species